rnacentral:rRNA from 1 species
AGCAGUAGCCGCGGUAAUACGUAGGUGGCGAGCGUUGUCCGGAAUCAUUGGGCGUAAAGGGAGCGCAGGCGGGCAUGUAAGUCUUUCUUAAAAGUUCGGGGCUCAACCCCGUGAUGGGAAAGAAACUACAUGUCUUGAGUACAGGAGAGGAAAGCGGAAUUCCCAGUGUAGCGGUGAAAUGCGUAGAUAUUGGGAGGAACACCAGUGGCGAAGGCGGCUUUCUGGACUGCAACUGACGCUGAGGCUCGAAAGCCAGGGGAGCGAACGGGAUUAGAUACCCCUGUAGUCCCUGUCUCUUAUACC